CGCGGGAUGGAGCAGCCUGGUAGCUCGUCGGGCUCAUAACCCGAAGGUCGUCGGUUCAAAUCCGGCUCCCGCAA
rfam:Pseudomonas fuscovaginae strain IRRI 6609 Pf_IRRI_6609_contig_1.1, whole genome shotgun sequence.